AAAGGUAGUUACCACUCUGAAUACACCUGAUCUCGUCUAAUCUUGGAAGCUAAGCAGAGUCUUGCCUGUCUAGUACUUGGAUGGGAGACCACAUGGGAAUAUCAGUGUUAUAGGCUUUC
ensembl:rRNA 5S_rRNA 5S ribosomal RNA